GAUCAACAUUUAACAACAGGUUAAAAAUCUGGUCCCUAAAGGUAUACUUACAGUGACAUGAUUUUCGUCUGGUCUCUAAGUCUCAUUGUUAUUUUCAAAAUUCGCGAAGGGUCUAAAUCCGGUCGUCGAAAAGAUAAAAAUCCCAUCCUAAUAAGCUAAUCUCACUGGGAGAGAGAGGCCCCAUCACACUAAUAUAAUGGAUUAAACUCAUGUUAAUUAUACCCAGGCCCCUCUCAUCUCUCUCUCUCGUAUUUCCCCAAAAAUGAAACCCUAUCCUACGUAUAUGUUUUUUAAUUUGAAGGCAUGUAAAAUUCCUAACAAUCAACUCUUUCAAAUUUAUAUCCGAAAGGCUGAAGACUCACGACGAUGGUGAAGAAACAAAUCGGCGAUGUCAAGAGUUAUCAAUCUGUACAGGGUUUGAAGAGUUUAGCUUACAAGUCAAGAUGCAAGUUUUGAAGGCGUCAUAGCUCAAGAAAUCAUUAUCAUUUUCUAGGAUUGUUAGGGGAAAAAUUAUAUUUUUGCUCGGAGGCUGCUUGUAAAUAGUACCACAACAUACGCGUUAUGGUUAUACAGUUACUAGCAGGAUGUACAUUUUUUGUGAUUAGUUAUCAAGUUUAUACAUGUGUAUGCUUAUUUGUACAUAAUAAAAGUGAUUUUUCUAUUGA